rnacentral:lncRNA from 1 species
GUAGAGUACCGUGUCAGUCGGAUAUAUACCUAGAUUUCUUGGUCCAGGAUGGAGAUCCUAUUGAGCUCGAUGAGAACAACGAGGAUCCAGUCACCUAUAUGGAUGCAAUGCAGAGGUCUGACUGAAAAAUGGCUAGAAGUCAUGAAAUUCGAAAUGGAGUCCAUGAAGAUCAAUAAUGUGUGGACAUUGGUUGAUCCAUCUAAAGGAGUAAAAUCCAUAGGGUAUAAAUGGGUCU